UACGUAGGGGGCAAGCGUUGUCCGGAAUCAUUGGGCGUAAAGCGCGUGUAGGCGGUCCGGUAAGUCCGCUGUGAAAGUCGGGGGCUCAACCCUCGGAUGCCGGUGGAUACUGUCGGGCUUGAGUACGGAAGAGGCGAGUGGAAUUCCUGGUGUAGCGGUGAAAUGCGCAGAUAUCAGGAGGAACACCAAUUGCGAAGGCAGCUUGCUGGGACGUUACUGACGCUGAGACGCGAAAGCGUGGGGAGCAAACAGG
rnacentral:rRNA from 1 species